UACGAAGGGGGCUAGCGUUGCUCGGAAUCACUGGGCGUAAAGCGCACGUAGGCGGCUUUCUAAGUCAGGGGUGAAAUCCUGGAGCUCAACUCCAGAACUGCCUUUGAUACUGGAGAGCUUGAGUCCGGGGAGAGGUGAGUGGAACUCCGAGUGUAGAGGUGAAAUUCGUAGAUAUUCGGAAGAACACCAGUGGCGAAGGCGGCUCACUGGCCCGGUACUGACGCUGAGGUGCGAAAGCGUGGGGAGCGAACAGG
rnacentral:rRNA from 1 species